UCGAGAAUCUUCCGCAAUGCACGAAAGUGUGACGGAGCGACGCCGCGUGAUGGAUGAAGCCCCUUGGGGUGUAAACAUCUUUUAUGAAUGAAGAAAUUUUUGACACUAGUUCAUGAAUAAGAGGCUCCUAACUCUGUGCCAGCAGGAGCGGUAAUACAGAGGCCUCAAGCGUUAUCCGGAAUUAUUGGGCGUAAAGGGUGCGUAGGUGGUUAUGUUAGUCGAAUUUCAAAGACCCGGGCUCAACCUGGGG
rnacentral:rRNA from 1 species